CAUUCACAGAGUGUGCUUUGCAGUUGGUGUGUUGUCGGCUUUCAGAGUAGAUAAGUUAUCUGUCUGUUCCCUAUUUGCAAACUGAAAAAAUCUUAAAAUUUCGUAAAAAAAUGCAAAACUUUAGUGAAUUCUGCCAGUUGUCAAUUAAAGAUAACAAAUUAUGCCUAAAAGCCAUCAUUGACAUAACACCAGGUGACGUGAUCUUGGAAGAGCAGCCAAUACUCAUGAGUCCACAAUGGGAGAGCGACCAAAUGAAGUGUUCCAAUUGCUUAAAGAGCUCUUUCGUCAUGUGUCAGGCAUGUCUGGUGUUUCCUAUGUGCGUAGAAUGCUCCGCACAUGAUCAAUUCGACUGUGAGUUCUUUCAGCGAGCUAAGAAUAUUUCAAAAAAUGUGUUAAUCUCCAACUACACAAUUUAUGCUCCAUUAAAAUGUUUGCUCAAAAUGGAAAAUCCAAAAACGAGCAAUGGUGGAGUAAAUGAGUUGCUAAAGCUUAAUGCCCAUUUGGAGGACUAUUUAAAAUCGGAAACGUGGGUUGAGCAUAGACAGAAGGUAGUGCAGCCUAUUUUAGAAUGUGGAAUAGCAGAAUAUUUCCAGAACAUCAAGGUCGAUGAAGAAAUUUUGCAGAAACUUUGUAGUUUGAUUGAUUUAAAUUCGUACGAAAUAACAAACAGAGACGGCGAACAGGUGAGAGGUAUUUAUCUUAGAGCACCAACAAUUCCACACAGUUGCAUUCCGAACACUUUAAUGGCCGUUGACGAUGAUUUUAAUUUGAAGAUCUAUGCUUCAUUGCCUAUUCGGCAGGGAGAAAUAAUAUAUAUUUCUUACACAAAUCCAUUGAUGGGCACCAGUCAACGUCAACAUCACUUGAAGAUGACAAAAUUCAUCGAUUGUUCAUGUCCCCGCUGUAAGGAUCCAACUGAACUCGGCACCUAUUUGAGCAGCAUCAAGUGCAAAUUAUGUCCUGAGGGCUAUGUAAGCUUUUCCAACUCGCAGUGGACUUGCGAAAAGUGUUCAUCCACAAUAAGCGAAGUUGAUGUUAACAGACUACUUUCUGAGGUAGCUGAACAAAUAUUAUACGCUGACGGAGAUGUUCGUCAAUAUGAGGCUCUUUUAGCUAAAUAUACAUGCGAUUUUCACCCUCAUCACUUUCUCAUGAUUGAUAUAAAACAAAACAUUGCUUCAAUUUUGAGAGCUAUCCUAAUGAAUCCGUUGUGUCAACCUGGGAGGAGUGUUCUUAGAAGAAAAAUUGAAUUAUGUGAAGAAAUGCUUCCAGUAGUAAGAGCUGUGCAGCCAGGUAUUUCAAGACUAUAUGCAAUUGCUUUGUACGAGUUUGUUAUAACUUUUGUUGAAUUGACGAAUUAUGAGUAUAAUGAUGGUGAAAUAUCUAUAGAUGAAUAUAAGAAUCGAUUAUUAAAGUCACGAGAAAUGUCCAAUGAAUCAGUUCGAAUGUUGGAAUUCGAACCACUUAACUCACCAGAAGGACAUUUGGGACAAAGAAUUAAAAUGGAACUUAAACAGAUUGAGGAAUAUCUAACAAAAGUUGGAUCUGAUGCAGUUUAGGCUUUGAAGCUCUUUUUACAUAGCUUAACCUAACAUAAUAAACAUUUUAGUCUUGUUAAAAAUAAAACAAGAUAUGUCUAAGGGGUAUAUUUUUUUUAAGCUGGCUUGACUCAGAUUGGAAUUUAAUCUAUUAGUUGGACAUCAAAUCGUCCCCUUCAAUACACCAGCUUUAAAACCAGCUUGUCUUGGCCUGCAUAGAAGAUCGUUUGUACGCGUUU